UAGGCCAUGAGAGUGCCAAUUUUAAGUGGGGCACAAAGCAAGAAAAGCCUCCAAGGCAAGUCUAGGCUUUGAUGAAAAUUUUCCUUCCACGUGGACCUUAUGGUUGAGCAUACCAUAUAAGAUUGCUAGUUGGAAAACUCCUGCCUUGCUGCUGGGUGCUGGAGAGGCUAAAUGCAUGACUAAGGAGCAUCAGGUGACUACGAAACCCAAACUCCCCAUCAAGCGCUGGUAUAUGUGUUGCUGAAGUGAACAUUUAUUUUUAUUCAAUGGGUUCUUCCUAGCCACUGUGCAAGCCCAGAAUAUCUGAGGUGGAAUUCACCAGAACCAUAGAAUUCCAGUUUUUCCCUCUCCAAAUAGCCGGGGUUGGAAGAUGGGUUCUCUCCCUGACACCUCAGAGCUCUGUCUCAUCUAUAGAACAAGAGUUCAGCCACCUCCAUUAUCUCCUGACUACAGCUGCUCUUAAUGGUUUCGCUCUUGUUGCCCAGGCUGGAGUGCAGUGGUGUGAUCUCAGCUCACCGCAACCUCCGCCUCCCGGAUUCAAGCGAUUCUCCUGCCUCAGCCUCCCGAGGAGCUGGGAUUACAGGCAUGCGCCAUCAUGCCUGGCUAAUGUUUUGUAUGCACCUUUUCUUAACUAUUAUUGAAGUGGUGGCCUGCCCCUCCACACCUGUGGGUAUUCCUCAUUGGGUGGGACGAGAGACUGAGAAAAGAAAGAGACAGAGGGACAAAGUAUAGAGAAAGAAAAGUGGGCCCAGGGGACUGGUGCUCAGCAUAAGGAGGACCCGUGCCAGCACCACUCUCUGAGUUCUCUCAGUAUUUAUUGAUCACUAUCUCUACCAUCUCAGAGAGGGGGCUGUGGCAGGACAAUAGGGUAAUAGUGGUGAGAGGGUCAGCAGGAAAACACCUGAACAAAUGUCAUAAACAAGGUUAAGAAAAGGUGCUGUGCUUUCGAUGUGCAUAUACAUAAACAUCUCGGUGCAUUAAAGAGCAGUAUUGCCACCAGCAUGUCUCACUUCCAGCCCUAAGGUGGUUUUCUCCUAUCUCAGUAAAUAGGACAUACAAUCGGGUUUUACACUGAGACAUUCCAUUGCCCAGGGAUGAGCAGGAGACAGAUGCCUUCCUCUUAUCUCAACUGCAAAGAGGCCUUCCUCUUUUACUAAUCCUCCUCAGCACAGACCAUUUACGGGUGUCGGGCUGGGGGACAGUCAGGUCUUUCCCUUCCCACGAGGCCAUAUCUCAGGCUAUCACAUGGGGAGAAACCUUGGACAAUACCUGGCUUUCCUAGACAGAGGUCCCUGCGGCCUUCCACAGUGUAUUGUGUCCCUGGGUACUUGAGAUUAGAGAGUGGUGAUGACCUUUAACAAGCAUCCUGCCUUCAAGCACUUGUUUAACAAAGCACAUCCUGCAAAGCCCUAAAUCCAUUAAACCCUGAGUCAACACAGCACAUGUCUCUGCGAGCACAGGGUUGGGGGUAGGGUUACAGAUUAACAGCAUUUCAAGGCAGAAGAAUUUUUCUUAGUACAGACCAAAAUGGAGUCUCUUAUGUCUACUUCUUUCUACAUAGACACAGUAACAGUCUGAUCUCUCUUUCUUUUCCCCACAAUUAUAAGAGACUAUACAAGGUGGUAAUGAAGAAACCUGGGAUUAUGUCCUGUGAAAUGGGGAUAACAGCAAUUCUAACUUCAUAGUUUUCUCAUGGUAAUUAAAUGACACAAAAUCAUGUUAAGUUCCAAGA
rnacentral:antisense_RNA from 1 species